GUGAAUUAAACAUGCUUGGUGUCUUCGCUUCGGCAUGGCCCUUGCUUAAAUCACAUCCUAACACCUGUGAACUGUAAGACGUAUGAUGAGGUCUUUGGCCAAGUCAUCGUCUGCCCAUUUUUAACAAACAAUUAAUGUAACAAACGUAGUCUUAUUAUAACCUAAUA
rnacentral:misc_RNA from 1 species